CUUCAAAAACAUCUUUAUGUUUGCACAGCGAUGGCUAACAUGAAAAGCACAAGCCAUUGCGGUUGGAUGCUGGAUGCUACAGACGGACACACAGAGGUUAAAACAAAGAUUCCAAAACAGGAAAAGAUUUGAGGUGAAAUGAUUCAGAUGAUCAACUUGCCCUGUAAAUAUUUAUAUUCACAUGUACUAUCAAAACAACACCUUGGAUGAAAAACCUCAUUUUAGAAGGGGGAAAAAAAACUGAAAGUAUGGGAAUUUUUCGAUAUCCCCCGCACUGAAAAGUGGGUUUGUUAAAGCCAGAUGGAAGGGAAAGGUCAAGAAUUGAAAACAGAAACCUAAUAAAUCCAUGAUAUUUCCAAAUGAAA